rnacentral:SRP_RNA from 1 species
GUUCAGAAACCAUGCGAGUAUACACCGCCUAACCCCGCCAGGUCCGGAAGGAAGCAACGGCAAGCGGAUGUAUGUUGCGCCGUGGCAGGUCUGUAUGCG